rnacentral:rRNA from 1 species
GCAAGUCGAACGAGAAAGUUUCUUCGGAAACGAGUAAAGUGGCGCACGGGUGAGUAACACGUGAAUAAUCUGCCUUUGAGACUGGGAUAACUUGACGAAAGUUAAGCUAAUACCGGAUAAGACCACGCUUCACAAGGAGCGCGGGAAAAGGGAUCUCAAAUCCUGCUUAAAGAUGAGUUCGCGUACCAUUAGCUUGUUGGUGAGAUAAAAGCUCACCAAGGCGACGAUGGUUAGCCGGCCUGAGAGGGUGAUC